CUUGCCUUGAACUUUCUUCUACAGUUUUUGGAUUAUUCUUCUUCUGUUAUUUUCCCCGGACUGUGAUAACUUUCUGCGUGUUUGAGUUUGUCCCUACCUGUCUUUAUGCUUGGAGUACAGCUUUGAAUAUCAUGUAUUCAGUUUUGAAGUGCAGAGCCCCUGUCUAUUAACCAUGGCAUCCAAGAAGUGAGUGGAAGCAACGAAGCCAAAGAGGAAGGUUGUAGUAUUGACGAUUGAGGUGAAAAAGGAAUUUACCAUGAAGUACAGUUAUUUGCCGUGUUUAUGGAAGAUGACUCCCCUUCCAUACAUCACCACUCCUCACUACAGGCUUUGUCUGAGAGGAUUAAAUGAAUUUGGUCCCAAGGACACCCAGGGCACCCACUUUCAAGCAGAGAAGAGUAGAGAUUAAUGAAGAUUGCAAAUCCUUGAAGAACAUUAUCGUUCUAUGUCUAUAGUCUAUUAGGAGUGAAACUAAACUAAAGCUAUGAAAAAGCCAAAUUAAAAUAAUGGAUAUUAGCAGCUUUUUAAAAUGUAUUAGCCUGGUAAAUUUCUAUUGGUAAUCUGUUUUGGUCUAUUGGUGCAUUUCAUGUUCAUUCACCAUUUUGAUUUUCUAUUCUGUUUUCCAUUAUUGGUCUUCAUAGAUACCCAUACUAUCAAAAGGUUUGUUAUAUCUCUUCUCCAAAAAGAGUAAAAAUGUUUUAUUUUUGAAAACCAAAUGGGUUAUGUAAUUGUUAGAGAAUAAGAAUUUACUAUGUAGUCAAAGUAAUCAAGAAUUUUAAAAUAUGUUUUGUCAAAUUUCACUCUGGGGAUGAAUAAAUCACUAUCUAUCUAUCUAUCUAUCUAUCUAAGUUUAUUUGUUAAAGGCAUUUUCUGGAAGAAAAGUGCAGCAGAGGACUGUGACUUUUGCUAUUUUAUUUGGUUUAAUGUCUGCUCUCUGUAACAGUAGUUAAACAUAUAGAAGACAAAAUGUCUGGUGGAUCAAUGGUAUUAGAAGUUAAAACCAGCAAAAAUUAAACUUGUCACUGCCAAAAGGCAGUCUGGGAAGACAAAAGGUCUACCCUUUAAAUAUUAAAAUGGUACUAUUUAUAUAAAAGCAAACCCCUAAAACCAUUCAUUAUCUUUAUGCAUGCACACCUCAUGAAUAUGUAUAUAUGGCCUGUCAAAAUGUCAUUGGCCUAAGAGGGUCUUGGGGUGUUCACUUUGACUCUUGUUCUGCCCCACAUGUUGUUAUUUGUUGGACUGUGCAUCUUCACUAUCUUGUCAUUAUUUAACACUAGAAUCUCUGAAGCAUAUGAAAAAAUGUAUAAUCCUGGGCCACCUUA